rnacentral:rRNA from 1 species
GUACACAAAAAUACACAUAUUGUGAGCUCGAUGAGUAGGGCGGGACACGUGGUAUCCUGUCUGAAUAUGGGGGGACCAUCCUCCAAGGCUAAAUACUCCUGACUGACCGAUAGUGAACCAGUACCGUGAGGGAAAGGCGAAAAGAACCCCGGCGAGGGGAGUGAAAAAGAACCUGAAACCGUGUACGUACAAGCAGUGGGAGCCUCUUUAUGGGGUGACUGCGUACCUUUUGUAUAAUGGGUCAGCGACUUAUAUUCUGUAGCAAGGUUAACCGAAUAGGGGAGCCGAAGGGAAACCGAGUCUUAACUGGGCGUUAAGUUGCAGGGUAUAGACCCGAAACCCGGUGAUCUAGCCAUGGGCAGGUUGAAGGUUGGGUAACACUAACUGGAGGACCGAACCGACUAAUGUUGAAAAAUUAGCGGAUGACUUGUGGCUGGGGGUGAAAGGCCAAUCAAACCGGGAGAUAGCUGGUUCUCCCCGAAAGCUAUUUAGGUAGCGCCUCGUGAAUUCAUCUCCGGGGGUAGAGCACUGUUUCGGCAAGGGGGUCAUCCCGACUUACCAACCCGAUGCAAACUGCGAAUACCGGAGAAUGUUAUCACGGGAGACACACGGCGGGUGCUAACGUCCGUCGUGAAGAGGGAAACAACCCAGACCGCCAGCUAAGGUCCCAAAGUCAUGGUUAAGUGGGAAACGAUGUGGGAAGGCCCAGACAGCCAGGAUGUUGGCUUAGAAGCAGCCAUCAUUUAAAGAAAGCGUAAUAGCUCACUGGUCGAGUCGGCCUGCGCGGAAGAUGUAACGGGGCUAAACCAUGCACCGAAGCUGCGGCAGCGACACUAUGUGUUGUUGGGUAGGGGAGCGUUCUGUAAGCCUGUGAAGGUGGCCUGUGAGGGUUGCUGGAGGUAUCAGAAGUGCGAAUGCUGACAUAAGUAACGAUAAAGCGGGUGAAAAGCCCGCUCGCCGGAAGACCAAGGGUUCCUGUCCAACGUUAAUCGGGGCAGGGUGAGUCGACCCCUAAGGCGAGGCCGAAAGGCGUAGUCGAUGGGAAACAGGUUAAUAUUCCUGUACUUGGUGUUACUGCGAAGGGGGGACGGAGAAGGCUAUGUUGGCCGGGCGACGGUUGUCCCGGUUUAAGCGUGUAGGCUGGUUUUCCAGGCAAAUCCGGAAAACCAAGGCUGAGGCGUGAUGACGAGGCACUACGGUGCUGAAGCGACAAAUGCCCUGCUUCCAGGAAAAGCCUCUAAGCAUCAGGUAACAUCAAAUCGUACCCCAAACCGACACAGGUGGUCAGGUAGAGAAUACCAAGGCGCUUGAGAGAACUCGGGUGAAGGAACUAGGCAAAAUGGUGCCGUAACUUCGGGAGAAGGCACGCUGAUAUGUAGGUGAAGCGACUUGCUCGUGGAGCUGAAAUCAGUCGAAGAUACCAGCUGGCUGCAACUGUUUAUUAAAAACACAGCACUGUGCAAACACGAAAGUGGACGUAUACGGUGUGACGCCUGCCCGGUGCCGGAAGGUUAAUUGAUGGGGUUAGCGGUAACGCGAAGCUCUUGAUCGAAGCCCCGGUAAACGGCGGCCGUAACUAUAACGGUCCUAAGGUAGCGAAAUUCCUUGUCGGGUAAGUUCCGACCUGCACGAAUGGCGUAAUGAUGGCCAGGCUGUCUCCACCCGAGACUCAGUGAAAUUGAACUCGCUGUGAAGAUGCAGUGUACCCGCGGCAAGACGGAAAGACCCCGUGAACCUUUACUAUAGCUUGACACUGAACAUUGAGCCUUGAUGUGUAGGAUAGGUGGGAGGCUUUGAAGUGUGGACGCCAGUCUGCAUGGAGCCGACCUUGAAAUACCACCCUUUAAUGUUUGAUGUUCUAACGUUGGCCCGUAAUCCGGGUUGCGGACAGUGUCUGGUGGGUAGUUUGACUGGGGCGGUCUCCUCCUAAAGAGUAACGGAGGAGCACGAAGGUUGGCUAAUCCUGGUCGGACAUCAGGAGGUUAGUGCAAUGGCAUAAGCCAGCUUGACUGCGAGCGUGACGGCGCGAGCAGGUGCGAAAGCAGGUCAUAGUGAUCCGGUGGUUCUGAAUGGAAGGGCCAUCGCUCAACGGAUAAAAGGUACUCCGGGGAUAACAGGCUGAUACCGCCCAAGAGUUCAUAUCGACGGCGGUGUUUGGCACCUCGAUGUCGGCUCAUCACAUCCUGGGGCUGAAGUAGGUCCCAAGGGUAUGGCUGUUCGCCAUUUAAAGUGGUACGCGAGCUGGGUUUAGAACGUCGUGAGACAGUUCGGUCCCUAUCUGCCGUGGGCGCUGGAGAACUGAGGGGGGCUGCUCCUAGUACGAGAGGACCGGAGUGGACGCAUCACUGGUGUUCGGGUUGUCAUGCCAAUGGCACUGCCCGGUAGCUAAAUGCGGAAGAGAUAAGUGCUGAAAGCAUCUAAGCACGAAACUUGC